UGCUGAAGAAGACUGAGUUGAUACCGAGUCAAGAGGCGAUUGGGGGCAACCAGUGAGGAGCAAAGUCAUAGAUGAGCCAGUUGACAUCGGAGUUCUGUAGAAACUCAGUGAGAGGGAGUUGGAGCUGGUCGUAGGCUCGUUUCAGAUUCGGGAAUAGGUGGAAUGGCAACUCGGAGGUGGACUCGGCGGAGUCGGGCAAGCCAUGGACGGCAGGCAGAGGCAGUGGCAGUCGUACCAUGGUUACAAGUGAGGAUAAAUUUGGAAUUUGAGAGAGGCGACGAAGGUUUUUAGGGGUGGAGAGGAAGGAAAUGCGGUGACCCCUUUGAACUAAGUGGCUGGAGAGAUGAAGAAAAGGUAAGAAGUGGCCAAAGGCCAGCCAUGGGAACACAGCUAUGUGAAGCUUCUGAUGCUCUUUCUUCAUCUCAUCCAUGGCAAUGGAGUUGUGAGUUGUGAGAGAAAUGAUCAAGAUUCAAAACUUUGGGUAGAGCAGUGAUGUGAAGUUGCAGAAAGAGUUGUCGACUUGUGCUCAUCAUCAAAGGAGCAGCGCACCAUGGAUGGAUGUCCCGCUGUACUUUUAUUGGACCCUUAUCGUUAAAUCCUAUCACUCAUCCCCGCAAUGGUAAGCCAAGGGGAAAAAGUGUGUUUUGGUGAGAGGGUUUUGAAAAAAGAAAGAAAAAGGAAGAUAAAAUCCUUUAAAAAAUAAUUAAAAUUUUCAUUUCAUCAUCUCUCCUGUUAAACAAAUAUUCGAUUUUUAUAUUAAAAUAUAAAAAAUUUGAUUUAAUUAAAAUUUUAUUUUCAAAUUAUUUAAUCUUUACAUCAGAUAAUUAAAAUAAGUUAAAUGACUUUUAAAUAACAUAUGAAAAUAAUUUAUUAAUUAAAUUUUUUUUUUCUUCCAAUUUUUUCUUCUUAGAGACACAACUUUUCCCAUGAGAAAAGGUAGGAUCUUAAUUAUUGAGCGUGGCGGUGAGAUUUUGAAAUGAAAAUUGAUGGUCCUUGGAAACUAUUACCCGACUUGAAAUAGUUUUCUAUAUGCUAAAAUGAUUAAAUGAAAUAAUUUUUUUUGAGAUUUUAAAAAAAAAUAUAUAUUGUUUUUGGGAAUAAAAUUGAGAUAUCUUCAAUUAUAUUUUAAAAGUGUUUCAAAAAAUAAUUUACAAGAAUUAAUUUUUUUUUACAUUAUACAUUAUGUGCACAAAAUUCAUGAAAAAUAAUUAAAUUUUUUUUUUUCAAUGUUUUCAGAAUUGGAUUAAUCAUUAAAUUGAAAAGUUAUGGAUUUAUGGUUCAAUAGUUUGAUUGAUAGUUAAAUCGCGAUUGAACUGGUGAUGUAAUAAAUAUAUAAUUUAUAUAUUAUAUAAAAUUAAAAUUAUUUAUAAAAUUUAAUAUUAAAAAAUAAUAAUAAUUCAUUUUUAUAUAAUUCAUUUUAUCAAAUUAAAUUGGUAAUAAUAAAUAUAAAUAUAUUAAUAUUUUAAAUUUUAUUAAUUAAAAUAAUACACAUAUAAUAUUUUAAAGAAAAAUUAUAUGUUUAAAAUUGUAUAUUUUUUAUUUUAUAAUAUUUAAAAACAUUAUAUUAUUCUCAUAAAUAUUAUUAUAUAAUAAGUAUAAUUAUUUAAGGGUUUUAAAUAAUAAAAAUUUGAAAGAAGCAUUACUUUCCAAAUCCCAAUAGUCUAACAAUGCUUUUGAUAAGUUGGAGGUCCGAGGGUGAGUCCUCAGACAAACAGAAAAAAAAAAAAAAAGCUCAUGGAUCAUAAGCAAUAGGGCCUAUGAGGCUUGGCUUGGAUGGAAUAAUUAGAUAAUUCAAAAAUUAAGUUUAUUCUAUUAAUGUUUCCAUAAAUUACAAUAUUAUUAGAGAAAUUUUCAUGUGUGACAAAAUAAUAUUGUUAGAAUCACUUUAAAAAAUUCAAAACUAUAUUAUGAAAAAAAAAAAAAAAAAACAAUUAUGCCACUGUAAACCUCAUUUUUUUGUGUAGUUUUUUUAUUAUUUUUGUAGCACUUUGCUGUCAGCGUGUUUUAGAGUGGGGGACGACUGUGAGUUACAUGCAUGGGACAUGUGCCAAGACACCACCACCUUGCCAUGGUGGUAGUUGAGAUGGGGACUCCUUUUGAACAGAUGACAGAGGAGUGGGUGGUGAGCAGUAAAAUUGGUGAAGACUGGAGGUGAAAGAAAAACAGAGCAUGGGUGGGCUGUUUUGAGGGGGUACCAGCUAUGAAGAAGGGAGGGAGAAAAACGAGCAGCGGAGGGGGAUUUUUCUGGGAGAAAAAUCUGGAGAGUGGGUGCUGGGUUUUUGUGGCAGCUGAGGGAUUUUAGAAAGAAAAAGAAGAAGAGAGGUGAGCUGAAAUUUGGGGGGGCGGUGGGGGAACGCGUCUGAAAAUAGAGCAAGAGGAGAGGUGGAGUGAAAACGGGGAGAACGGUUUUUUUGAAAGAAAACAGAGCAAGAGGAAGGUUGUCCACGGGUGAGCGGUUUUUGAGGGAGGCGCCUGAAAACAGAGCAAGGGGAGAGCUGGAAGGAGAAACGGAGGACGUUUUUUUUAAGGAAAAAACAGGCAGCAACUGGAGAGAGAGAUCUAGGAGAAAAACGGAGCACUUGAAGCCAAGUGUGCUUGGCUCAAGAGGAGACACCCAUGUUCAUUGUGAACCGUGUAUUUUCUUAUUUUUGGAUGCCAUUUUACCUGAUGUCUCUGUUAACUUUUGGGUCGUUCUUGCUGGUCCUUCCAUGUUCGUUUCCUUGGCUUACCUUGAAAACUGGUGAGGUUUUUUUUAUCAUGUUCAUUGCGGGGCAUUCUGAAGAUCAACGCAUUUGCUCUACUGGGUGUCAUAUCUGCAUUGUAUUUGUUUUUGGCUUUUGCCUAUUCUGUUCUUCUUUGCAACAUACAUAUAUAUAUAUAUAUAAAAUGAAAGAUAUGGUAGUGUGCUCGAUGGGAGUGAACAGAGUAGGGCAGUCCCACAUAGAUUUUGUUGGGGAACGGAUUUAAAAGUAUGGAAAUCACACCCCUUUUUUUUAGGUUUCUAGGAUUUUUGAGUUUCGGGCUAGGUGGGUUUCUUCUUUUGGUUGGUUUUGCCACUCCAAAUGGCUCUCGUUCCACACUUUUUGAUUCACGUUCAGCAUUUCUCUACUUAGGCCUAUGUUUGGUGGCUGGGAAUUUAUAAGAAACUGAUUUUAGGAUCUGGGUAUUUGGUUAUAUGAGAUGAUCUUAAGAACUGUUUGAGGUUUCUACAAACUGCCUUGCAUUUUCAUAUUAUAAACCCAACACCUCUGGUUUGUUGGAAAUGAGUUUGAAAAAAUAAUAAUUGAGCAACUUGGGGCUUAAUUAAAAGUGUGACCCACAUUCCGAAAAUGUCGGGACCAUGCACCAACGCGUUCUCCUCCGUAAGAGUAUAACGUGGUAUAUUUAUUUGUUCAAAUCCAUUAAGUAUUGAAUGAGAAAAUUGACUCCAAAGUCACCCACUUGAAAUUAUAUAUUUAAGGAAACUUGGUAUAAACUUACCAUAAACACUUUAUCCCACGUAGGAAGGAAGUGUGAGGGGAAUGUGAAGAGUUUAUAUAUUGAAUUUUUGCACUAUAGGAACGGCCCAAGGGGCACCCUAAGUUUGUAAAGGGGAGGACCUACAUGGGUGUAGGCUUGUGUGGGUUUAACCCACACGGGCGCAGCCGCCCGGGCCCAUGGGUCUUGGGCUUGGGCUUGCUAUAUAUAUAUAUAAUUUUUGGGCAAAAAUCAUUUAAGUUUCUGGGUCGGGGUUAUCCGUUGGCUUUUCAUAAUUAAGAUUCAUUGUUAGAGUGUGCCUAUUCCGAACAGGUUCAUGACUAUUCCAAACAGGUACGUGUCUAUUCCGAAUAGGUUUAUACCUAUUCUAAACAGACACUAGGAAGUCUAUAAAUAGACUUUCUACCUCGGCAUUAAUAAAAUAAAAAAAAAAUUCAAUCAAUUCCUGCAUAUUUCUCUCUCUCCUCUUUGCAUCCUUUGUCAGUUCGAGUACAAAAUACAAGUUGUGUUCGUGGUGUUCUACAGAUUGAAGUGCUGCUUUUGUAGAACUGAAAAUCCGUUCUAUCUUGGGAGACAUUUAUUCACUACUUGAGCACCAGAGAGGGAAUAAAAUUGUCUUAAAGAAACAGUGUUGUCAUUGGGCUCGAAUUCAUAGAAUUAAAGUAAGUUCUGUAAUUUCAUUUAUUUUAUUUACAUACUUAUUUAAUGUUUACUUAAAGUAUAAACUGUAAAAAGAUUUUAUUGUUAACAUGGUUUGCUUUUUGCAUCUACUCCCCUUCAUUUUUAUGUAAUUCACCAUUCUCUUCCUCUACAAAGAAUCAAACAUGGCAUUCACAAUUUGAAAAGCUUGACCCAUCAAAAACAAUACAUCGAGGCCCUCAAACGCACCACACAAGAGCCACGUGUCAUCCUUUUUCUUUUUUCUUUUUCCUUCUUUUGAUAUUAAAAUUUUAUUUAUUUUUUAUUUUUUAUUUCUCCAUUCUCCAAUAAUUCAUCAAAAUUCCAAUUUUUAAAUUUAAUUUUCAAGAUUUUAAUUUUAAUUUAAUUUUCAAAACUCCAAUUUUUAAGUUUAAUUUUCAAAACUUCAAUUUUUAAAUCUAAUUUUCAAAAAUCUAAUUUUCCAAACUUUAAUUUUCAAAUUUAAAUUUUAAAAUUUCAAAUUUUAAAUAAUUUUCCAAAACUUCAAUUUUCAAAAUUCUCAAAUUCAUUUAUUUAAUAAUAAUAAUAAUAAUUAUUAUUAUUAUAUUUAUUUAUUUAUUUUUUAAAUUCCACUAUCAAAUAAUUCUUCAAAAUUCCAUUUUCUUAAAUUUAGUUUUCAAACUUCCAUUUUAAAAAUUUUUUGAAAUUUCGAUUAUUAAAUUUAAUUUUUUAAACUUCCAUUUUUAAUUAAUUAUUCAAAUUUUAAUUUUCACAUUUAUUUAUUUAAUUAUUGCUAUUAUUAUUAUUUUAUUUUAUUUUUUUAUUUUUAAAUUACAUUCUCAAAUAAUUCUUCAAAUUUUCAUUUUUUUUAAAUUUAAUCUUCAAGAUUUCCAUUUUCAAAUAAUUCUUUUUUAAAAUUUCAAAUAAUUUCAGAACUUUAAUUUUCUUUCAAAUAAUCUUAAUUUCACUCCAAUUUUCAAAUAUUUUUUUAAUUAACCACUUUUUAUCCUUACUAAAAAUUCUAUUUUUAAAUAAACUUGCUAUAUUUCCUUUCAGGGAAGCACCAUAAAUUUUCUUCGAUUUUAAAAUAAUUUUCCGUUUUUCUUGAUUUCUAACAAGCAUGAAGACAAUUUUCAUAAUUCCAAAAUAAUGGAAUUUGUGGGAUUAAUUUAUACAAAAUCAAUUGGGCUUUGGUGGGGCCCAACAUUCAUAACAUUUGUUUUUAAAAUAAUUUAAGUGAAUUGUAUAGUUAAUAUUGUUUGAUUUUGAUUGGUUUUAUGUGAAAUAUUUUACACUUAUCAUUGUACACCAACCUUGUUUCAUGAUAACACUUUAUUAUAUGUUGUCAAGCUACGAUCUUAUUCCUACUUUGCUUAUUCCUAUGCAUGAUUCGUUUUAUUAUUUGAUCUAUGAUCAUUUUGAUAUUUGUUGAUUUCUUUAUCAAUUAUCACACUUACUUCACCUUAUUUAGUAGAAACCAAUUUUUAAGAGCUUAGAGGAUCCUACGAUUUUUAUCGUACAUUUCCAAUAAGUAAUCUGAUCUUACCUUCAAAUUCUGAUAUUAUCUUCAAUUAGACAAUUUUUCUUAAAACUUCACUAAGAAACACAAUAUCAAAUUUGCUUAUUAUACGUUCUCCUUAUAUACCUCAAAAACCUAAGGGUUCCUUUGUUAGGUUUGUCCAUGAAAGGUGAGUCAAAGCCUAAGAUCAAGUCGAAAGGCAUAGUUGAUGGGUAAUAAGUGAAUAUUCUUGUAUUAUCCCUUGUUAGUCUCGAAAAAUCGAAAAGCAACCCCAUUUUUCACCUUAAAUUAAUCAAAAUAAGUAAAAUUUCUUGCUUUUUGUAAAUGAGUAGAUUUAAUAACUAGGGGUCUAUGGCUAACUGAUAUAAAAUAAUUUAAAUAAAAAAUAUACAAAAUCUAAUCAUUAAUAACCCUGAAUUAAAAUUAAGAAAAUUAUCUUCAAAAGAAUAUGUGCUAAUAGCAUAUUAUAAAAUAAUGAGUAAACUAAAAAUAAAAGAAAGUAAAAAAAAAAGAAGAUGGAGAGAAUUUGAGACGAUGUUUUUUUAGAGAAGGAUGUUAAUACGUGGAUGGAACAAUGCUUUUAUAAGCUUACGUAAAGAAAAAGUAGAUAUCUCCAUUAACUUACUGUUAAUAGAUCAAGUAGAUUUAGUUACUACUGAGUCAUUUUCAAGCACCCGAGUGAACUCAUCUAAAUAUUUGGUUUGCAACUUCACAUUUCCAAAGAUUUCCCUCAUUGCCCAUGCAUUUCUCCUAAGUUGCUCUCCUUCUUCUUCCACCAUAACUCGUUUUAUUGACUUACUCACUGAGUCGCCUGUAAAUGAUCCAUCUCGCUUGUCCCUCGGUACUUCCAACCCGACUCGCUUGCCUUCAAGGAGUCUUGCCACCAACCCCAGAUCUGAAGAAGGCCCGGGGAAAAGAAUCAGCACCCGACCCAACCCGAGAGCCUCGAUCACGGAGCUCCAUCCACAGUGGGUCAAGAAUCCACGAACUGAUGGGUGAGCCAAGAUUUGCUUUUGUGGAGCCCAAUUGGCCCAAACUAAACCACGACCUGAAACCCGACCCUCAAACCCGGUUAUAAUCGGAUCAUCUUUGGUUUUAACCACCCAAAUGAAGGGUAAGCCGGAUUUCUCUAUUCCAGAUGCCAACUCGUUCAUUUCGUCCUGACUCAGAGUCAACUCACUACCGAGUGCAACGUAAAGGACGGAGUUUUCGGUUUUCUCGUCAAGCCAUUGUCUUAACGAGCCCCAGCUCUCGUCUCCCUCGCUGUCGUUCACCUCCGUCGGAAGCAACCCUAUCGGAACGACAGGCUUUUGGUAGAGAUUUUCGAGGAGACUCAGUGAAUCACCCUCUAACUCGGCGCAGCUCCUGGUAGCUACAAAUCGGCAGCCUUCAAUCACCUUUGCCAAUCGGAAGAAAUCGGAAGCUUCCGAGUCCAUGCAGUCCUGGAUGCGGGUCACCUCGUGGAUCCUGAAAGCGACGGUGGACGGAAACGGGAUCCACUCAGGAACCACGGUUAAGUUCUCCACCUGCUGUUGACAGCGGCGGAGAAUCUCCUCCGGCGAGCCCAUGAAAGCGAGUGUGCUGGCAUUGAAAAUGCUGAAGAAGACUGAGUUGAUACCGAGUCGAGAGGCGAUUGGGGGCAACCAGUGAGGAGCAAAGUCAUAGAUGAGCCAGUUGACAUCGGAGUUGUGUAGAAACUGAGUGAGAGGGAGUUGGAGCUGGUCGUAGGCUCGUUUCAGAUAGGGGACUAGGUGGAAGGGCAACUCGGAGGUGGACUCGGCGGAGUCGGGCAAGCCAUGGACGGGAGACAGAGGCAGUGGCACCAUGGUUACAAGCGAGGAUAAAUUUGGAGCAAUUUGAGAGAGGCGACGAAGGUUUUUAGGGGUGGAGAGGAAGGAAAUGCGGUGACCCAUUUGAACUAAGUGGUUGGAGAGAUGAAGAAAAGGCAAGAAGUGGCCAAAUGCCAGCCAUGGGAACACAGCUAUGUGAAGCUUCUGAUGCUCCUUCUUCAUCUCAUCCAUGGCAAUGGGGUUGUGAGUUGUGAGAGAAAUCAAGAUUCAAGACUUCUGGGUAGCGCAGUGAUGUGAGGCUGAAAAGGAGUUGUUAUCGCCAUCCAAGGAGCACUAUACCGAACGAGGGAUGUCCCACCACAGCUUUGUUCUUUGGUGCCCAUUGUUAUUUUGGGUACCCACCCAGACUCCAGUAAUAAAGUGACACGUGUAAAGUGUAUUCAAGUAACUUAUCAAACCGACAAGAUGAAUUAUUGAUCGGAAAUAAUCACAUGCAUAUCAAUCAUAUCUACAUAUUAUAACUUUUUUAUAAUUUAUUAUUAAAUAUCAAAUAUAAUUUCUUAUUUAAUGAACAAUAAAACAUUUAUUUAAAGAAAAAAAAAAAGCUACCGAGUUACCCUUAUACUCUCACUAUUCAAACAUAUAAAAAGGGUACUAAUUUAAUAUGAAAAUUAGGUCAACUAAUGCAUUGAAAAAAAUGGGGAUGUGUUUUGAUAAAACACAUUUGAAUGUCAAGUUCAAAACUUUUUGAGGAAGAAAAGAAAAAAAUUUGUAUUCCUUGAUGAAGAUCAAGGAUUUCAAGUGAUUAUAAGUGUCAAAAGUAAUAUUUGAUUGUUUUUUUUAUUUAAAUAUGAAUUAUGUAGGUAGAAAUGUUAUGUUAAAUAAUAAAUAUGUAAUAAUUUUAUAAUUUUUUAUGAGCUUAUUAUUAAUCAAAUGAGGAUGAUUUAAUAUUAUGUUAUCAAAUUACUAUUAAUAUUUUUAUAUUAUUUUUUUUGUGUGUUGAUAGAUUAGAUUUGAAGAUGAAGUUUUAUGUCUUGCAAAGGGAAAACAAGAAUUUUUGUUUCUUAAGAAGAUAUCAUAUGAAGGAUUUCAAGUGAUUACAACUGUUAAAUGUAACAUUUGAUAUGUUUUUUUUGUUUAUUUAAAUAUAAAUUUUGAAAGUAACAAUGUCAUGUUAAAUAGCAUUUAAAUAUGCAAUGAUUCGAUUUAGAUUUUAAAUUUUUUAUGAGUUAUUAUUAAUCAAAUUGAGACAAUUUAGUCAUUUGUCAUGAAAUUGUCAUCAAUAUUUUAUAUCAUUUUUUUGUGUAUUCAUAUAUUAAAUUUGAAGAUGAAGUUUUAUAUAUCUUGAAGAAGGAAAAUAAGAAUUUUUGUUUCUCAAGAAGAUAUUAUAUUAAGGAUUCCAAGUUAUUACAAGUAUUAAAUGUAAAAUUUGAUUCUUUUUUUUUUAAUUUAAAUAUAAAUUUUGUAGGUAGAAAUGUCGUGUUAAAAAGCAAUUGUUUUAAAUAUGUGAGAGGGGAUAUGAACAAUGUGAGAGAUAGUAUAAAUAGUAUGAGAGAAGGUAUAAGCAAUGUGAGAAGGUGUACAAAAAAUGUGAAAAGGGUAUAAACAAUGUAAGACAAUGUACAAACAAUGUGAUAAGGAGUACGAAUAAUGUNNNNNNNNNNNNNNNNNNNNNNNNNNNNNNNNNNNNNNNNNNNNNNNNNNNNNNNNNNNNNNNNNNNNNNNNNNNNNNNNNNNNNNNNNNNNNNNNNNNNGAAUAAUGUGAGAGGGGGUAUAACAAUAUGAGAUGAGAUACGGACAGUGUCAGAGAAUGUACGAACAUUGUAAAAGAUGAUAUAAACAAUGUGAGAUGAAAUACGAACAGUAUGAGAGAAGGUAUGAACAUUGUAAAAGAUGAUAUAAACAAUGUGAGAUGAGAUACGAACAGUGUGAAAAAAGGUACGAGCAUUGUAAAAGAUUAUAACAAAUAAUAUGAGAGAUGGUACGAACAAUGUGAGAAAUGAUACAAACAAUGUAAGAGAGUACAAAUAAUGUGAGAUGAGGUACGAAUAAUGUGAUAAAUGAUACAAACAAUGUAAGAGAGUACAAAUAGUAUGAACAAUGUGAGAGAGGUACAAACAAUGUGAGAGAUGAUAUGAAUAUUGUAAAAGAUUGUAUGAACAUUGUGAGAGAUUGUACAAACAUUAUAAGAAAUAGUACGAACAUUGUGAGAUGGUGUACAAAUAUUGUGAGAUAGAGUAUGAAUAAUGUGAGAGAUAGUACAAACAUAAUGAGAGAUGGUACAAAGAUUGUAAUAGAGACUAUGAACAAUGUGAAAAAGGGUUGAACAUUAUGAGAUGGGGUACAAAGAAUGUGAGAGAUGAUAUGAAUAUUGUAAGAGAUUGUAUGAACAUUGUGAGAGAUUGUACAAACAUUAUAAGAAAUAAUACGAACAUUGUGAGAUAGAGUAUGAACAAUGUGAGAGAUAGUACAAACAUAAUGAGAGAUGGUACAAAGAUUGUAAUAGAGACUAUGAACAAUGUGAAAAAAGGUUGAACAUUGUGAGAGAGUGUACAAACAAUGUAAGAGGGGUAUGAACAAUUUUAUUAAACAAAUUAAAAUAAUUUAAUUAUUUGUUAUCAAAUUCAAUAUUUUUAUAUCAUUUUUUUUUUUGUAUUUAGGGAUUAUAAAAUAUUAUUAUUAUCCUUAUUAUAUAUAUAUAUAUAUAAAUGAAAGAAUUUGAGAAAUGAUAUGAAACAUGUGAAACAAGGUAUGAAAUGAUAUAAAAAUAUUUAUUUAAAAAAAAACCAAAUUGAUAACAAGUAUGACUAAAUAAUGUAAUUUUCUAACUACUUUUUCUUUUAUAUUUCAGUUCCUUCAUGGAUAUGAUAGACAAAGGCAAAGGAAAUGAAUUCAUCAUCGAUUUGAAGGAUGAAGACUUUGACUACCAAUAUGAUAGUAAUGUGAAAACUGAGUUUGAUGAAGAGUCCAUGUUAGGAAUCUUCACAUUUUUUUGUACUCUUCCCAAAAUUUCAAGUAUUUUUAUGUUUAAAUUUUUUUGUGCAUAAUUUACAUCAAUCAUAAGUGUAAUUAGUAUUUUUAAAUAAUAUCAUAACUAUUGAAAGUGGGAAAAAAUUCUUAAAAAUCAAAGAAGUCAAAAUUUUGGAGGAUACGAAAAAUGUAAGAAAUCCUUAUAUUCUUUGUACUUUCUCUUUAUUUCAUGUUUUUUUUUAAAUUUUGAUAUUUUUCUCCUAAUAUUCCUUCAUUUGUGACUCAAUUAAGCUAUUUUAUUGUUAUUUUUAAUGAAAAAUUAAAUCUUAAAAAUUUUUCAAAUAUAAAAUUUGGAGGAUAGGAAAAAAAUGUGAGAAUGUUACAAAUCAUACCCUUUUCAAUUUAAUUUUUUUAGCCAAAUAAUCUAUCAUUCUUGACUCAGUAAAGUUGUUUUAUUGUUAUUUAGAGUAAAAAAAUAAAUCCUAAAAAUGAUCAACAUGUAACAUUUUUAUGAUUUUUAUUAUAAAGUGUUACUAGGAAUACCAUCUUUUUAUGAUUCAAUUUUACAUUCGUGAAAUAAGAGUAAUAGUAUUGUUUGAUGAGUCAUGCUAAAAACGACUAAAUUAAGUUUAUAUGGUUUUUAUAAUUAUAUUCAAAUAUGUUAUAGCUAAUGUUAUAUAAAAUAUAAUGGAAUUUAAAUGUGUUGUAGUUUUAAUUUCAUAUAAUUAAUCAAAUUUUUUAUAAUUGAUCAUGGUCCAAUUACCUAAUACCUUUGUUUAACCUAUGCUCAAAAUGUUGAAUAUCAAUACAAAUAUUAAUUCCAUAUUAAAACAUCACCAUAUUCAUUUUUAUGUUCGUAAAAAUCAAUAUUCAUGAGGAGCUUACAAACUAAGUGAAUUCAAAUGUUUUACAAAUUUUAUACCAAUUUCAUUUUUAUUUUUAUCCAAUUCUAUUUUUUUUUUAUCUCAUUUAAUUAUUUCAUAUAAACCCAAAAUUGUUUGUUUAAAUACAAUUAUCCAUUAUCCAUUCAUCUUGAAACCCAUUUAUCUCAUCUCAUCAUUUCAUCUUGAAAAAUGAAUGGAACGACUGUUUCCUGCCAAAUAAUGGAUCCAAUGGCUACUAUGUGAUGAGGUGUGAUUGGAUGUUUUUGAUAUAUUCCAACGGCUACAAUGAUGAAUGUGAAGAGAAAAAAUGGAAGAAAAUGGACAAAAUGAAAUCAUGAGGGAGAGAAAGAAAGAGGAAGAAGAGACAAAUGAAGAAGAGGGAAUGGAGGAACCAGUUACUCCUUUAAUAGGUUAUCUUGUUUGUUUUUUUUUUUUUUUUAAAUUUAAAAUGGAUGGCCAAGAUCUAAUGACUAGAGAAUUUUUUUGGUACUAUAGAAUUUUCCAUCCCAUAAAUCCUAUUACUUUUCCCCCACAAUGGGUAAGCCAAGGGGAAGAAGUGUGUUUUGGUGGGAGAGUUUUGAAAAUGAAGGGAAGAAUCCUUAAAAAAAAAAAAAAUAGAAAAAUAAUUUUCUCUUUGAUUUUUACAUAAAAAUAUAUAUAAAAAAUCAAAUAUAAUAAAAAUUAAUUAAAAAUUUAUAAAUUUUUAAAUUAUUUAAUCUUUAUAGAAAAAGUAAAACGAGUUUGAAAUAUCGUAUAAAAAUAAUUUAUUAACUUUAAAUCAAUUUAUUUAUUUUUCCACUUUUUAUUUCCUUUCACUUUCUUUUUAUUUUAUUUCUCUUAUAUAUUCCCUUAAAUUUUUAUGAACCAAAUAUAACUUAAAAGCUUAAUAUAUCCCAAUAAAAAAAAUAUUAUUUGCAUUAAUAUUUAUAAUCCACCUUUAAUUUAAAAAUAUGUAAAACAAUAAUAGAUAUUUUGUGUUGGACGUCAUUUGUCUUAUCCGGGCUGAGCCGUGGAGUAUAUUUGGCUCUGUGGGAUGCUCGAGUCCGGAGACUACACGUUUCCCCACAAAGUGGCCUCCCCAGGAUUUGAACUCAAGACCUUAAGGUCUUUUGGUUUGCCCUNNNNNNNNNNNNNNNNNNNNNNNNNNNNNNNNNNNNNNNNNNNNNNNNNNNNNNNNNNNNNNAUUUUGGAAUCACAUAUUUUGGCAUAUUAAAACACAACUUUUCCCAUGGAAAAAGGCAUGAUGGUCCAAUUACCUAAUACCUUUAUUUAACCUAUGCUCAAAAUGUUGAAUAUCAAUACAAAUAUUAAUUCCAUAUUAAAACAUCACCAUAUUCAUUUUUAUGUUCGUAAAAAUCAAUAUUCAUGAGGGAGCUUACAAACUAAGUGAAUUCAAAUGUUUUACAAAUUUUAUACCAAUUUCAUUUUUAUUUUUAUCCAAUUCUAUUUAUUUUUAUCUCAUGAAGGGCAACUCGGAGGUGGACUCGACGGAGUCGGGCAAGCCAUGGACGGGAGGCAGAGGCAGUGGCACCAUGGUUACAAGUGAUGAUAAAUUUGGAGCAAUUUGAGAGAGGCGACAAAGGUUUUUAGGGGUGGAGAGAAGGGAAAUGCGGUGACCCAUUUGAACUAAGUGGUUGGAGAGAUGAAAAAAAG
rnacentral:lncRNA from 1 species